rnacentral:rRNA from 1 species
GAUGAACGCUGGCGGCGUGCCUAAUACAUGCAAGUCGAACGCUGGAGAUCUAGCUUGCUAGAUCGAAGGAGUGGCGAACGGGUGAGUAAUACAUAAGCAACCUACCCACGAAGACUGGGAUGAUCUCUGGAAACGGGGACUAAUACCGGAUAGGUAAUCGGAAGGCAUCUUCUGGUUAUUAAAGGUUAAAAACACUGGUGGAUGGGCUUAUGGCGCAUUAGUUAGUUGGUGAGGUAACGGCCCACCAAGACGAUGAUGCGUAGCCGGCCUGAGAGGGUGAACGGCCGCAUUGGGACUGAGACACGGCCCCGACUCCUACGAGAGGCAGCAGUAGGGAAUUUUCGGCCAUGGGGGUAACCCUGACCGAGCGACGCCGCGUGAGUGAAGUCGGCCUUCGGGUUGUAAAGCUCUGUUGAAAGGGAAGAACGGUAGAUAGAGAAUAUCUAAGUGCCGGUACCUUACCAGAAAGCCACGGCUACCUACGU